CGGGGCUAAUACGGGAUAUGAAAUCUGCGGGCAUCCGCGGAUUUGGAAAGUUUUUCGGUUGAAGAUGAUCUCCCGGCCUAUCAGCUGGUUGGUGAGGUAAUGGCUCACCAAGGCGACGACGGGUAGCCGGCCUGAGAGGGCGACCGGCCACACUGGGACUGAGACACGGCCCAGACUCCUACGGGAGGCAGCAAUGGGGAAUAUUGGGCAAUGGAUGAAACUCUGACCCACCGACUCCGCGUGCGGGAUGAAGGCCUUCGGGUUGGAAACCGCUUUCGGCAGGGAAGAAGCGAAAGUGACGGUACCUGCAUAAUAAUCACCGGCUAACUAUGUGCCAGCAGCCGCGGUAAUACAUAGGGUGCUGCGUUGUCCGGAAUUAUUGGGCGUAAAGAGCUCGUAGGUGGUUCGUCACGUCGGAUGUGAAACUCUGGGGCUUAACCCCAGACCUGCGUUCGAUACGGGCGAGCUUGA
rnacentral:rRNA from 1 species